AGCGAACGCUGGCGGCAGGCCUAACACAUGCAAGUCGAACGGAUCCUUCGGGAUUAGUGGCGGACGGGUGAGUAACACGUGGGAACGUGCCCUUUGGUUCGGAACAACUCAGGGAAACUUGAGCUAAUACCGGAUGUGCCCUUCGGGGGAAAGAUUUAUCGCCAUUGGAGCGGCCCGCGUCUGAUUAGCUAGUUGGUGAGGUAAAGCUCACCAAGGCGACGAUCAGUAGCUGGUCUGAGAGGAUGAUCAGCCACAUUGGGACUGAGACACGGCCCAAACUCCUACGGGAGGCAGCAGUGGGGAAUCUUGCGCAAUGGGCGAAAGCCUGACGCAGCCAUGCCGCGUGAACGAUGAAGGUCUUAGGAUUGUAAAAUUCUUUCACCGGGGACGAUAAUGACGGUACCCGGAGAAGAAGCCCCGGCUAACUUCGUGCCAGCCGCCGCCGUAAGAC
rnacentral:rRNA from 1 species